GGUCACGGGUCUCAGCGUCAAGCCCCGGCUUGCUGGACGACAUCCCGUUCGCCGCUAUUGCCCCGGGUGACGACCAGCCCAGCGCGCGGUGCGUUGGGAAACCGCAGAUC
rnacentral:ncRNA from 2 species